CAUUUUUGAACCAAUUGUCCGAUAAAAAUUUGUUUCUGUCGAUAAAAUCUUAUUUUAAGAAAACAAAUACGUUGAAAUUGAUAACGUUUUCUUGUUUUUCUCAGAAAGUAGGAAUGUUCUGCAAGAUAAAACUUCUAAGACAGGGUACUAGAGUCGAGCUGGUUAGAAUGUUAGAUGCUUGUUGUAAUGAUGACAUCAACAUACAACCAAAUGAGGCGACCAUUAAAUUCAGUUUUUCUUCUUCUAAGGCCAGUAGCUAAUUAUUAUAGACUUAGCAAAGAGAUAAAAUGUUUAUAAAAAAAAGUAACCUUAUUUACGUAGAACUUCUCUCGGCCCCGAAGCACAACAAUACAACAUGUGGGAAUAAUUUAAAUUUUAAAAUGUGUUUAUAAAAAACAUAACUGUGUUCCUAGAACAUCAGAG